GAAAUAUUUCGGUGUAAGUGAUCCUGGCUAAUCUUUUUCCUUCUCGCCAUGCGGGAGCAGGUACAAUCACCUUCAGUUAAUCCGAAUUUUGUGAAUCGUCGACAUGGGAUACCUGUGAUCUCUCCUUUAAUGGACUAAAACAUCACUUGUGCAAUCUUCGUGUCCGGUUGGAGUCGUUACGUGCAUGUUGAAUCUUUUCGGCCGAGUUUAGCCUGGUUAUAGAACAAAGAGAAAGACAAUCAACAUGCGAAGCAGCGAUCAAGCGUGAGGUGAAGUCUUCUUUGCGCUACCGAAGAAUAAGAUUUGACAAAAGUGACACUUGCUGCGGUUAAAGAAAAACACACUAACUAAAUUCUGUCGUCUUUUUCUGAAAGUAAUCUCCACUUUCAUAGUCGUUGCUGUAUUUAUAGUAAUCUGGAUUAUGAAUCUGGCGGCACAGUGGGUACUGGUGAGCUCGUCUGCCACACAGUUCUGAGGACUAGUUCAAAUCCUGGCUCGCAAGUGUGGGGUUUGCAUGUUCUCCCCGUAGCUGUGUUGAUUUUCUGCAGGCACUCCGGUUUCCUCUUGAAAAAUAAACUUUUAGACUGUGUUUGCACGAAGAUAUGCCCUAAAUUUGAUUUUUAAUACACGUCUCGUAUAAAUGAAUGAGACGUUCUCCGCUAGCAUAACACCGCUACGUGUGAACGAUUGACACACUUAUGCUUUGUUGAGCGAUAUUUAGCGAUGAUCGGAUUGCACAAACGUAUCGAUUUCUUGCUGGCUCACGGCCGAAGCUUAACCAGACUGUGUUUGCAGGAAGAUAUGCCCUAAAUUUGAUUUUUAAUACACGUCUCGUAUAAAUGAAUGAGACGUUCUCCGCUAGCAUAACAUUGCUACGUGUGAAUGAUUGAAUGAAAUCAGAAGCAUGGCGUCUCUCUCAGUUCAAAAUGUAUUGUAUUUUCUAUUUUUACUGUUUGUCUUACGUCAGCGCACGUGGCGUGACGUCACGUCAGGAGGCGUGGUUAAGUGCCCUGUACGGAGGGGUCAAUUACAUGGGACACCGUUAUGCCCAGCGCUGAUUUCUCAGAUUUAUCCUCAUUUGAUGAAGGAAUAGCAGUAUCGGUUGAUCGGAAAGACAGAGGAAUACUUCCAUACAGAUUUGAACCUGUGGAUGUAAAUAAUGUUGAAUAUUCGGAUGGUUCUUUGGGCGGAAUGACGCAGAGAAUGACGAGCGAGCUCUGCCGAGCGGCGGCGCAGCCGUGAGCUGAGCUCCGGCGGAGCUCGCUCGUCAGACUCCAUGUCAUUCCACCCAAAGAAAUAGCUUGAGAGAACGCACCUUUAUGUGCAUGCGCUCAAUGUAUUUACCACAACUGAAUAUGGAUGAUAAUCUCAUGUCGGCACGGCGUCACACGGUCAAUCAAGACUGCCUCGCAAUUGACGCAUUGAGCACCUCCUUUGACAUGACUCAUUAUGUUUAGGACUUUCGACGUGCGCUCGCAGUACAUGAAGAACCUCAGAACAUGUGCUUUUGGCAUCACUUCUGAACAUGCUCAGUACGGUUAACUUGCAUUUCCUGUUUCCGGGUGAAUACUGAUUGUUCAGGAUCAGGGUUGUUUUGUUACCAACAUUUAUUGAAACAUAAAUUAAUGUGAAGACUACAGAAAAUAAGCAACGUCUUUCAAUAUCUAUUUUUUCCUCUUGCAACAAAUUUUACGCGUGUGAUUUUUCGUGCUCGACUGCAGAUUUGAGACUGCGAUGGCGCACGAGCGUGGUCAGGUCCAUCAAGUGUGAGUGCCUGUAUUUCGUAAUGUAUACCUGGGGUACCAGUAGCAGGCUACUUAAUUCUUGUAACGCAAUAGUUUUCCCCCAGUUCUAUUUAUUUUAAAAUUAUUUCUCAAUGGGGAGUAUUAAGGUGGUAAUAGAUGUAAUUGGGCAUUAAUUUUUUAUUUCCAAUUUGAUUUUUUUCCAAGAGAAAGCUUAUCUACAUUCAAACACCAGCCCAUCAUGGGUGCAAAGUCUCAACCUUGUAAAUUGGAUUGGAAUGUUCAAGCUCAGUGUCAUUGUCUUAAACUCUGAACAAAAUGUAUCUGUCAGUGAUAACACUCCAGCUUUUGGCAAAGCAGCAUGUAGCUGGUCCAUGAAGUCUUCGAAUUCUAUCUUGGUUGGGGAUGAGACUUCACAUCUUGGUGGUGUUGUGUCUUCUGACCCCUCAAUUUUAUCUUUAAGCCUUUUCCUUUUCUUUGAAGAGGAGGAAAAGUCAAUGUCUCUGACCUGCUUGGAUGGUGUGUUAAAAGUUGUAGCUGUCGGGAAAAUCCAAUAUGUUGGAACAUCGGUAAUAGAUGCUUCAUUCCGAAUAGGUGUAGCAGUCUCUAAUCCAAACUGCCCCUAUAUGGCUGCAACCUUCACCAAGGCCAGCCAUACAUGUGCAAUGGGCAUACUGCACUGGACCAUCUGAUGACAAAAUAACCCAAGGCUCCAGGGGCUUUUCUCUUAUCCGGAUGGAAUGAUGAACCUGUGACAAAUGAAACAAAGUUGUUUAACAGAAUGUCAGUUUGUGGAAGCCACUCUUACACUCGUAAGCAUAUAUUUGUAUUGUACGUAUAUAUAUAUAAAAAAAAACUGUGAAUUUUAAAAUCAAGAUGGAUUUCAAUUCUCAGCAUGUUAAUGCAGGUUUACAUGUAGGCUUAUUUGUAACAUUUGCAUGAAUAACCAUUACAUGUAUAUUCAAAGUGUAUAUAUAUAUAUAUAUAUAUAUAUAUAUAUAUAUAAAUAUUAUAGGGCCACUGUCAUGAAAUGCAUGAUUUUUAGUAUGUUAUUACUGGAAAAAACAGCAGCUAGUUUUGUCCCAUGCCUUUUUUUACUACAAAACAUGAUUUUGACGUAUAUGGCUUUUUGUAACUCCCGCCAUGAAAAGCCUCUUGAGGGAUUUAUUUCUGAGAAGAAGCAGGAAGUGACGUAUGGGGCAGGAGGGCCCUCAAGCGGACUCGUUUGUUUCAAUUAGUUUUACGUGCGGGAAGGUGGCUCGUUGUUCCUUCGUGUUAGCUAAAAUGCUGACUUGCUGCAUUGCUGGAUAUUGCUCGAACACUCGGGAGGAUGGAUUUACCCUUCAUAAGUUUCUAAGAGACCUGGUUCGUCGUGAAAAAUUGAUUGCACAGGUGCAAAGGAUGAGAGCUUCGUGGCUUCCAAAUGGCAGGUAGGUGUCGAUACAGCUACUAAAAAAAAAAACAAUAGUUUGGGGGGGGGCGUAAUCCGUAAAUUAGGGGUGCUAAAUAUGUCGAUGUGCGCAUUGGAAGGCUUCCGUGCAACAGCCGCUGAAGGACGGCCUCCGCAGCCGCCUUGUGGAAAAGGCCGAGCUGGGCGCCAACCUUGUUGGCUGGGGUGGCUCGUCGCCGACACGGAAGUGGAUCGGCUGGGGUGCCUCGUCGCCGCCACGGAGGUGGAUCGGACGGGGAGGCGGUUUGGCCAUGAUCUGCAGCUUCUUUUUCUUUUGGCUUGUCUCGUUAGGGGUCGCCACAGUGUGUCAUCUUUUUCCAUCUAAGCCUAUCUCCUGCAUCUUCCUCUCCAACACCUACUGUCCUCACGUCUUCCCUCAGAUCAUCCAUCAACCUUCUCUGUGGUCUUCCUCUUGCUCUUUUGCAAGGCAGCUCCAUUCCCAGCACCCUUCUACCAAUAUACUCACUCUCUCGCCUCUAGACAUGUUCUGAUCAUUAAAGUCUGCUCUCAUAAACCUUGUCUUCAAAACAUUCAAAUUUGGCUGUCCCUAAAAAUUUUUCAUUUUCUAAUCUUAUCCAUCCUGCUCACACCUAGAGAGAACCUCAACAUCUUUAUUUCUGCCACCUCCAGUUCUGUUUCCUUUUUUCUCUUCAGUGCCACUGUCUCUAAUCCAUACAUCAUGGCCAACUUCACCACUGUUUUAUAAACUUUGCCCUUUAUCCAAGCAGAGACUCUUCUGUCACAUAACACACCUGACACCUUCUGCCAGCUGUCUCAACCACCUUGGGCCCGUUUCUUCAUUUCCUUACCACACUCACCAUUGCUUUGUAUUGUUGACCCCAAGUAUUUGAAGUCGUCCACCCUCGCUCUCUCUUCUACCUGGAGCCUCACUCUUCCUCCUCCACCCAUCUCAUUCACACACACAUAUUCUGUUUUACUUCGGCUAAUUUUCAUUGGUGUAUUGGUAAUUAAGCAAAAAAUGUGACCUCAGUGAAAACAAAGGAUUGCUACUUAAAUUACAUAUUCAUUUACUACAUAUGCUUGUGUAUUUAAAAAAGGAAACUUCCGGUCAUUCACUGAAAAAUGAAAAAAUCUUAAUCCGAUAGAUCAUAUCACAUGAACUGUACCUUGAAAAUUUUAAGUUAAUACGAUAUAAUGGUGUUUUGAGAAGAUUUUUAUCGGCAAUCAUGAAUUUUCACAGGUGCCGCCAUUUUGGUGAGUCACAUGAGCAUAUGUGAUGUAUUCUGUGAAUAAACAUGGCCAAUUUGUAGUGUGUCAUUACAUGCAGUACAACCACUAUCGGACACGUGAAAAUAACCUACUGCAUUCCGGAAUGUUGACGUAAUUUGGAUAGAAAUAAUCUGAGGAAUGCUCGGUGGCACGUUCUGCCCAGCAAGAAAAAGAAACCUUUAAGGACCCAGUGGCUAGCGAAGUGUGGUCGCCCUGAGUCAUACGACAAACAGGCCAGGGUAUGCAGUGAACAUUUUGUGUACCCAGACGAUUAUUCAACGAGUAUGGUUCGGUACUCUAUGGGUUAUUUGAAAGAAUCUUUGCUCAAUCCAGGAGCAGUCCCUUCAAUAUUCAUUGAUCAAUUUGCUGAGCAGGAGAAAGGGACACAACAGCCACUAGUGCUCGGAAGCACACCAGUCAGUGAUGCCAGUUUUGCAUGUAAUAGUAGUAGUUCAAGUCCAUAGCGACCCAGAGCAAGCUAUGCAGCAAGAAGCAAGAGAAGGGUUGUUGAGGAAAUGCUUUCCCCCGUCAUCCCUGUUGUGGGUGAUCAGGAAAUGUCUGCUGAUCCAGAACAAGCAGAUGCUAGUUGUACAGAAGAUCUUGGCCUACAUGAAACACACAACCCUUCCAUUAUUGAGGGUGACGCUAGGUUUGGUCAAUCUUCAAGUGCCAUGUUGCCUCCAGAUUUUCACUGUAAAUGCUACAGGCAUGCUAUUACUGUCAAAGGUAUGUAGGUGGUGCGAACACUUUUUUUGUGAGACUGUAUGUACUCGUACUGUUCUACUGUAGGCCAUGCCAGAAAGACGACCACCACAUGCAGCAAUUCCUUAAUUGAUAUGUCAAAGAAGAAGAAAUAGCAGAUGAACUGUCACAUCAAUGUUAUUUUACAUAUGUGCUGUAUGGUCUUUUGAAUCAUAAUAAAGCUGAAGUCCUGAAGAAUCAA